rnacentral:rRNA from 1 species
GCAGUUGAACGUAUAUACAUAUUUGUAUAUAAGUAGCGAACGGGUGCGCUAACACGUUGAGAAUCUGCCUAUAGUUUGUGGUGAAAUACUGCAGAAUCUUCUUUUUCUAGAGAUUCAGAUAUAUAUCGAUUAUAGAUGAGCUUGCGGGGUAUUAGGUUGUUGGUGUGGUAACGGCGCACCAAGCCCAAGGUGCCUAGCCGGUUUGAGAGAACGAUCGGCCACACUGGGACUGAGACACGGCCCAGACGCUUACGAGCGGCAGCAGUGGGGAAUAUUGGACAAUGGGCGCAAGCCUGAUCCAGUGAUAUCGCUUUAGAGAUGAAGGCGACAUACGUUGUAAACCUAAUGAAUUAUAUAUAGAUUAUGACCGUGUAUAAUUUAGAAGUCCCGGCUAAUCUCGUGCCAGCAGCCGCGGUAAUACGAGAGGGGCGAGCGUUAUUCAAAAUGAUUGGGCGUAAAGCGCACGUAGGUGGUAAUAUGUAUCAGUAA